rnacentral:rRNA from 1 species
AACGAACGCUGGCGGCAGGCCUAACACAUGCAAGUCGAACGCCGUAGCAAUACGGAGUGGCAGACGGGUGAGUAACGCGUGGGAACAUACCCCUCGGUUCGGAAUAACUCAGGGAAACUUGAGCUAAUACCGGAUACGUCCGAGGUUUUAAUCGGCCUUGGAGAAAGAUUUAUCGCCGGAGGAUUGGCCCGCGUCUGAUUAGCUUGUUGGUGAGGUAAUGGCUCACCAAGGCGACGAUCAGUAGCUGGUCUGAGAGGAUGAUCAGCCACAUUGGGACUGAGACACGGCCCAAACUCCUACGGGAGGCAGCAGGUGGGGAAUAUUGGACAAUGGGCGAAAGCCUGAUCCAGCCAUGCCGCGUGAGUGAUGAAGGCCUUAGGGUUGUAAAGCUCUUUACCCGGGAAGAUAAUGACGAUACCGGGAGAAUAAG